GGUUAGAGCAACGUCAGCCUGAAGUUGUUCAUCUGUUGAUAUUGCAUCACCAAAUUAGAAUAUUAGCUAUCAUUGCCCCAACAAUAUACAUGUUUGAGGGGCCUGCACGUCCUUGAAAGAAAAAAAAACGGUACAUCUCACUUCAAAUCUCAGGUCAUUACCUGGAAACAAAUCAUCAGGAAUCUCAGAUGUCAUAUUCAUCAUAUGGCAACCGACGCCCUCGGACUCAAAAAGGCAAAAAAAGCUCAACCUUCUAGACAGACUAGGACUACAGCCAAGUUAGAAGAGCCACACUUUGUAGUCUGUGGUGUAACACUGAGUAGCAAUGAAGAUGAUGAUUCCUUUCACGAAACCAAAAAACUCAAAUCUGAUGGUAUCCACAAAUCCUCUGAAAAAUUGGAUGGCAACUCUUUGAACAAAGAACAGCCAAACAUUCAAGAAUGUGCAGCGUCAAAUGCUGUUUCAAUGGAUUUACCUGGUAUUGAUGCAGAAGAAAGGCUUGGAUCAAAUGAUUUUCUCCAUUGGAAUGGAGUUGCUGGAUUGAAGGAACCUUUCUUUCCCAUACACUGCAAGUCUAUUCGAAUUGGAUCAUACAGGUUUACUCCAGUGGGCCAGGUUUUAUUCUCAUCCAAAGGAAUUAUGCUACAAGCUCCAGUUUUUCACAACCAUAACGAGUCAUCAGAAAAGAGUGCAGUAUGGGUCAAUGUAGCUAUCCCAACUCAGCAACUAAUGAAAGUGGAUGCUCAUUUCAGCCAACAGCUUAAAGUCAUCUUCUUAAAUUGUCUUCCAAGCUUGUGUCGACAGCUUUCGUCAAAAUUGGGGUUACCCAAAAGUGGUCCAUACUGGGAUUCUGCUAGCGAAGACGAAAGUAAAAAACGAUUAACCCUUUUUCCCGGCAAUUUGAACUAUGCAACGAAGAACGCUAUAAAAAAAGUCUUCGUUCCUCGAGGUGUCUAUCAUGAAAUUAAUCAUGCCGAGGCCAACCGACUCUUGGUUUUUUCUGCAUCUCCAGAAGUUCGUGAUGCGCUUAAUCGUCUCCACGCAGGAACUUCGGUACCAGCAGAAACGAGUGUUUCGUCGAUAGAUUCGCCAGAUGUGAUUGGUGACAAAGAAGAUGCUAUUAAAGAUUUACCUAUUGAUGCAGAAGAGAAAAUUGGAUCAAAUGAGUUUCUCCGUUGGAAGGAAAGUGGAUUGAAGGGACCUUUCGUUGCCGUAAACUGCCGGUUUGUUCGUAUAGGAUCAUAUAAGUUUAUUCCAGUGGGACAGGUGUUAUUCUCGUCCAAAGGAAUUAUGCUACAAGCUCCAGUUUUUCACAACCAUAACGAGUCAUCAGAAAAGAGUGCUGUAUGGGUCAAUGUAGCUAUCCCAACUCAGCAACUAAUGAAAGUGGAUGCUCAUUUCAGCCAACAGCUUAAAGUCAUCUUCUUAAACUGUCUUCCAAAAUUUUGUCGCCAGCUUUCGUCAAAAUUGGGGUUAACCAAAAGUGGUCCAUAUUGGGAUUCUGCUAGCGAAGACGAAAGUCAACAACGAUUGAUAUUGCUGCUCGUUAAUUUGGAAUAUGCAGAGAAGAACGCAAUCAGACAAGUUUUCUUUCCUCAAGGUGUUUAUGACGAAAUUGACCAUUCCGAGGCCAACCGACUCUUGGUUUUUUCUGCACCUCCAGAAGUUCGUGAUGCGCUCAAUCGUCUCCGCGCCGGAACUUCGGUAUCAGCGGAAAGGAGUGUUUUGACAACUGUAACCAUGGUGGCGCAGAAGACGUUACCAAAGUCGAAUUUCCAACGUUAUUGUUCCUAAACUGAGUUCGUCUGCGCGUCAUAUGGCAAGCCGAAUCCAUCACAAACAACAAAUUUCGGCGCACAUUAUCAAAUCAGAAAAUCGACAUCCAUUACUAUGAGAAGACUCCUGGAACAGAGUGAUUAUUCCAGGUACGUGGUAUUCAAGCAAGCAGUUUGGUGUUGCUGUUAUGUGCUUAUGUUUGCUCAGUGUUUGCUGCCUGACAUCAGCUGAAGAGGACAAGACAAUAUUGUUAAAUAUCUCUGGUGUUUUUGUUGAGUAGUAAUAUUUAAGUGUGCCCGUUUUAAGUGAUAUCAUGUUGAAGUUGUUUCACUUUUCAAUUGCAUGUGGCAAAUGCAAUCAUGCAUUAUAUAGGCCCUAAUACUUUAUGAUUCUGACUAUUCAAAUCCGACCGGCCAGCAUUGAUAAUUCGCUGAAAGUUUUGUUUAUUUAUCGUCCUUUUCACUAAUACCGCUAUAAUACUCGUAAAUAACUAUGGACUCGGAUAUGGUUUGUUUUUUCAAACUUGUGAAUUCUAGCAUAUUUGACGGGAGUUAUUCGGGGAAUUGUCCGUUUUGGGGGUUGGAAAGAUAAUUUCUAUUUCGCAGAUUUCCUAGAGCUGAAAUUCUGCAAAGACUUUGAUUGCGGCAAUUUUAUUUGAAAAUUUAGAUUCCUGACAAUUGUCAACAGAGGAAAAAAUCCCGGAUUCCGGGUGCCAAUAUAGCCAUUUUAUUAUUUUCGGUUUCUAAUUUAGUUCCGAGCUUGGUAAAUCUUACUAUGACGCAAAAAUGAACCUACAUUUCGUGAUCCUCAUCAAAUUUAUGUUCGAUUUGAUGUGUCCUUGAGAAAUAUCGAAACAUCACUGAAAUUUGAAAAAUAACGCGAAGUCUAGUUCAGGAAACUUUACGAUUUUGGCAAAAUUUAGGUUUUAAUAAAAAAGCUUUCAUUUUUUCCCCAUAUUUCGUGGAGUUCACAGAUAUAGGGCUUUUUUAGAUCGCGAAAAUCUGACUUCC
rnacentral:misc_RNA from 1 species